rnacentral:rRNA from 1 species
AGAGUUUGAUCAUGGGCUCAGAGCGAACGCUGGCGGCAGGCCUAACACAUGCAAGUCGAGCGGCCGUAGCAAUACGGCAGCGGCAGACGGGAGAGUAACACGUGGGAACGCGCCCUUCGGUUCGGAAUAACUCAGGGAAACUUGGGCUAAUACCGGAUACGCCCUAACGGGGAAAGAUUUAUUGCCGAAGGAACGGCCCGCGUCCGAUUAGCUUGUUGGUGAGGUAACGGCUCACCAAGGCGACGAUCGGUAGCUGGUCUGAGAGGAUGACCAGCCUCACUGGGACUGAGACACGGCCCAGACUCCUACGGGAGGCAGCAGUGGGGAAUAUUGGACAAUGGGCGCAAGCCUGAUCCAGCCAUGCCGCGUGGGUGAUGAAGGCCCUAGGGUUGUAAAGCCCUUUCAGCGGGGAAGAUAAUGACGGUACCCGCAGAAGAAGCCCCGGCUAACUUCGUGCCAGCAGCCGCGGUA